GAUGAACGCUGGCGGCGUGCCUAAUACAUGCAAGUCGAGCGAACAGAUAAGGAGCUUGCUCCUUUGACGUUAGCGGCGGACGGGUGAGUAACACGUGGAUAACCUACCUAUAAGACUGGGAUAACUUCGGGAAACCGGAGCUAAUACCGGAUAACAUAUUGAACCGCAUGGUUCAAUAGUGAAAGGCGGCUUUGCUGUCACUUAUAGAUGGAUCCGCGCCGUAUUAGCUAGUUGGUAAGGUAACGGCUUACCAAGGCAACGAUACGUAGCCGACCUGAGAGGGUGAUCGGCCACACUGGAACUGAGACACGGUCCAGACUCCUACGGGAGGCAGCAGUAGGGAAUCUUCCGCAAUGGGCGAAAGCCUGACGGAGCAACGCCGCGUGAGUGAUGAAGGUCUUCGGAUCGUAAAACUCUGUUAUCAGGGAAGAACAAACGUGUAAGUAACUGUGCACGUCUUGACGGUACCUGAUCAGAAAGCCACGGCUAACUACGUGC
rnacentral:rRNA from 1 species